ACGAACGCUGGCGGCGUGCCUAACACAUGCAAGUCGAGCGGAGGGGAAAGGAGCUUGCUUCUUGAACCUCAGCGGCGGACGGGUGAGUAACACGUGGGUAACCUGCCCUUGAGAGGGGGAUAACAGGUCGAAAGGCCUGCUAAUACCGCAUAACGCUAAGAAGCUGCAUGGCGUCUUAGCCAAAGGUUAAUUCCGCUCAAGGAUGGGCCCGCGGCCCCAUUAGCUAGUUGGUGAGGUAAUGGCUCACCAAGGCGACGAUGGGUAGCCGGCCUGAGAGGGUGGUCGGCCACACUGGGACUGAGACACGGCCCAGACUCCUACGGGAGGCAGCAGUGGGGAAUAUUGCGCAAUGGGGGAAACCCUGACGCAGCGACGCCGCGUGAGCGAUGAAGGCCUUCGGGUUGUAAAGCUCUGUCUUCCCUGACGAUAAUGACGGUAAGGGAGGAGGAAGCCACGGCUAACUACGUGCCAGCAGCCGCGGUAAUACGUAGGUGGCGAGCGUUGUCCGGAAUUACUGGGCGUAAAGGGUGCGUAGGCGGCUCUAUAAGUGGGAUGUGAAAUCCCUGGGCUCAACCCAGGAACUGCAUUCCAAACUGGAGAGCUAGAGUGCAGGAGAGGAAAGCGGAAUUCCCAGUGUAGCGGUGAAAUGCGUAGAGAUUGGGAGGAACACCAGUGGCGAAGGCGGCUUUCUGGACUGUAACUGACGCUGAGGCACGAAAGCGUGGGGAGCAAACAGGAUUAGAUACCCGGUAGUCCACGCUGUAAACGAUGGGUACUAGGGUAGG
rnacentral:rRNA from 1 species